rnacentral:rRNA from 1 species
UGGGGAAUUUUGGACAAUGGACGCAAGUCUGAUCCAGCCAUUCCGCGUGCAGGACGAAGGCCUUCGGGUUGUAAACUGCUUUUGUACAGAACGAAAAGGUCUCUAUUAAUACUAGGGGCUCAUGACGGUACUGUAAGAAUAAGCACCGGCUAACUAC